UACGGGAGGCAGCAGGGGGGAAUAUUGCACAAUGGGCGCAAGCCUGAUGCAGCCAUGCCGCGUGUAUGAAGAAGGCCUUCGGGUUGUAAAGUACUUUCAGUCGUGAGGAAGGUGUUAAGGUUAAUAACCUUAGCAAUUGACGUUAGCGACAGAAGAAGCACCGGCUAACUCCGUGCCAGCAGCCGCGGUAAUACGGAGGGUGCGAGCGUUAAUCGGAAUUACUGGGCGUAAAGGGCACGCAGGCGGUUAAUUAAGUUGGAUGUGAAAUCCCCGGGCUUAACCUGGGAAUGGCAUUCAAGACUGGUUAGCUAGAGUCUUGUAGAGGGGGUAGAAUUCCAUGUGUAGCGGUGAAUGCGUAGAGAUGUGGAGGAAUACCGGUGGCGAAGGCGGCCCCUGGACAAAGACUGACGCUCAUGUGCGAAAGCGUGGGGAGCAAACAGGGAUUAGAUACCCGU
rnacentral:rRNA from 1 species